CCCCGGCGUCAGCACGGUUUCCGAGGCCGCGGCCUCCUGUGGGGCGAGUUAGGGGCUGAGAGGCCUAGAAGACCUGCCACCAGGACGGAAGCGGCAGACGGUGGGCAGGAGGGAAGGUCAUUCCAGCCUCCAGAAACCUUCGUCAAAGUCUGUCUUGUGAAGGACACAAAUACCAGAAGUCUGAGUGCUGCUCUCCUAUAUGAACAAGAAUCCGGAAGAAAGGAAAACAAUCAUAGAAGCAGAACAAAAGUACAAGAUCAUUCACAGAUGGCGCUACCAUAUCAUGUGGACAGAUCACAUCCUGGAUGUUCCAACUAUUCAAAUGCUGUCUUAUUGUUUCGUCCAAUGUUUUCCUCCUCUGAAUGGAGGCAAUGGACACUAGUGAAAUACACUGCCAUGUUGGAAAAACUUGCAUGACAGGGAACCAGCAAACUGCCCCCAAGGCCAACAAGGAAUUGAGGAUGUCAGUCAAACAAGAAUUGAGGGACUGGAUCCUGCCAACAACCAUGUAAGUGAGUACACAAGUGGCUCUUUCCCCAGUCACACCUGCAGAUAAGAACCUAGCCUCCGCUAAUAUCUUAAUU